AAGCGUUUAUGACCAGACUUGGGCUUGGUUAAUCAUCUGGGGUUCUCCCCAGUGCACUUUUCCAGUCCAGGCCAGCAUCAGUUCGCCCUGGGGGAUAAAGGCUUCGGGAAUGUGGCUCUCUCCGGGGAGUGUUAUAGCCCGCUGCGUAAUACCCUGUGGCGGACUGAGGUUCGCGCUCUGCAAGGAUGCUGGCGUAAUGGUCAUCAACGA
rnacentral:rRNA from 1 species